GUCAGCCAGGAACUAUCAAAAUAUACGAAAAAAUAUUAUUUUCGUUUCGUCACUGCGCGGAAAGUGCUUCCGAAAGUUUUAUUCAACGCCCCGGUAGUCCGCCCAUCGAGUAAAUGCGGUUUUGGUGAUGUGCAAAACGAAAGCAGAAGACAUUUUUGGUUCUUAAAUUUUACUUACGGCGCACGCACACAUACACACACGCACCGCUUGAGAGAAGCAGCAGCCAUCAGCAAGAAGAAGAGACGCAGCAGCGCAGCGAAAAAGCAACGAACGAGGAGACAACGACGUCGGUUGACUGGCGGCGAGGCGGGCGAGCGACGAGGACGACCAUCAACUGUAAAUUUGCGAGUGCUUCUUCCCUUGCAGGACACGCAUCUCUUGGCGGCAGAAGAGAGCAGACCGACAGCCAAUUCCUCCCAACGCCAGCACACACACAGUAUGUUCAGUAGAAAUGGGCGGAUUCCUGGAUAAGCCGAAAACCGCCAAACACAAUGAUCACGGAGAGGGCAACAAGCUGCUCUUCGGCGUCAGCUCCAUGCAGGGCUGGCGCUGCGAAAUGGAGGAUGCCUACUAUGCCCGCGUGGGGCUAGACAAUGCCCUGAACGACUGGAGCUUCUUCGCGGUGUUCGACGGGCAUGCCGGCUGCAAGGUGUCGGAGCACUGUGCCAAGCAUCUGCUGGACAGCAUUGUGCACACGGACGAGUUCAUAAGCGGCGACCAUGUGAAGGGCAUACGCACUGGCUUCCUGCGCAUCGACGAGGUGAUGCGCGACUUGCCCGAGUUCACCAAGGAUUCCAAAUGCGGCGGUACCACCGCCGUGUGCGCCUUUGUCAGCUCGACGCAGGUGUAUAUCGCCAAUUGUGGGGACUCUCGUGCCGUGCUGUGUCGACAGGGGGUGCCGGUGUUUGCCACGCAGGACCACAAGCCCAUUCUGCCCGAGGAGAAGGAGCGCAUACACAAUGCCGGUGGCAGUGUGAUGAUCAAGCGCGUAAACGGCACCCUGGCCGUGUCCCGAGCCCUUGGCGACUACGACUUCAAGAACGUCAAGGAGAAGGGGCAGUGCGAGCAGCUGGUAUCACCCGAGCCGGAAAUCUUUUGCCAAAGCCGCCAGGACACCGACGAGUUCUUGGUGCUCGCCUGCGACGGCAUCUGGGAUGUGAUGACCAACGAGGAUGUGUGCAGCUUCAUCCAUUCGAGGCUCAAGGUGACCAGCAAUCUAGUGAGCAUUGCCAAUCAGGUGGUGGACACUUGCCUGCACAAGGGCAGCCGCGAUAAUAUGAGCAUCAUUAUUAUUGCCUUCCCCGGAGCACCGAAGCCAACCGAAGAGGCGAUAGAGGCUGAGCAUCGGCUGGAGAAACAAAUCGAGAAGAUCACAAGAGACGAGAUAGAGUCUAACCAGAUUACCGAUUACCUGGAUCUGCUGAAGUGUAUGCAGAACAAAGACGACAUUGAAGGUCUUCCACCCGGCGGCGGUUUGCAGUCCAAAUAUCACGUUAUCGAGCGCACAUUCAAGCAAGAGUUUCCGGAUCGACCAUGUGAACUGUAUGCAUUUGAAGAUAUAUGAGUUUUGUAAUACCUAAUAUUGUACAUUUCCAAACCAACUGUAAUCAAUCAAUCAAUCAAUCAAACAAACAAUCAACCAACCAAGCAACAAGUGAACAAACGAUAACUAAACACUUCCUCAGCUUCAUAUAUUCUAAAUAGCCCAACGCAUUGAGUUGCAGAUAAACCUUUAAAUAGAAACCAGUUAAACAAACGCAGCAAACCUGAACAGAAGAAAGAUCUUAAAUGCCACACACACACCACACCCACACCCACACCCGCGCCCACAAACAACAUGAACGAAACGAUGCGAAACAAACAAAACACACACCAAACAGUUUUCUACUUUGAUAAACGCUAAAGAAAAACCUACUAAUAAUGAUAAUAAUAAGCAUUACGAUACAUUUAUAGUUUAUAUGAAGAGGCCUGUCCUGUCUGUCAGCCCCCUCCCCACUCAACAGUACCACAGCCACACACCCACGAGGACACACGAGAACACAAUUUACGAACCGAACCUAUACUCCAAAUGAGUUCUAAAAUAGCACUCAGAGAGCAGAGAAAUUCAAUAAGAAGCAGCGAAUGGCUCAAAGCCAGCAACAGCAGCAGCACCAGCACCAGCACCAGCAAGAGCCCUACUCCACACCACACCACACAAUAAGGAUGCAUAAGGAUCAUCCACACACUAAACCGACAUUUAAUAAAUAACCCAACAGGAGACACACCUGUCUUUUCUGAAUGAUUGGCCCCAACCACAGACCACGGCCAGCCAGCUCUAUGUGAAUGUUUUAUCCUCAGUAUCUGUGUCUGUGUGAUCUAUCGUUCCGUCACCUCUCAUUACAAAAGCAAUCAUCAAACAAACUGUUUAUAAUGUGCCCGCCCGCCUCUGAGCUCCUCCAGUUUAGUCGCAAAGGAGAGGAGAAACUUCUAAGAGAAAAGCGCGAAUUAAAACUUACAUUUAAAGCGAAGUGAAAUCAUUUUGAGGAAGGAUAAUACGGCGAGAGGCCCUCGCCGCGAAACAUUUGUGUACAAGAACGUUUAUUAUUUCAACAAAACUAUGUAUUAAUAUUGAUUCCGAAACCAUGCGGACUUUUGUAAGUUGUAAAAUGUUUGUUACUGAAAACACUUUUUGUUCACUUUUAUAUAUGUAUAUGGAAAGAUGUCGCCAGCCUAUUGCGAACACUUAAUAAUGUAAAGUAAAGAGUAAAGAGUAAAAGUAAAGAGUAAAAAUGUUAAACUAAAGAAAACAAAAAAAUUGAAAAACCAAACUAGCAAACAAACCUGUAACUAUCUAUAUAUGGAAAAGCGAAAAAGUAAAUCCUAAACCUUAAGGAAAACAAAAGAAAACGAUUAAGAAAAUUUACAAAAACAAAAAAACAAAAGAAAGAAACCCCACAAUAAUGUCCGAUCUGAAAGAAACGAGAAUGAAAGCUAA
rnacentral:misc_RNA from 1 species